AGGUGAGCUGCAACUGCUGUGUCUAGAGCUGCAAAGAAAAUCACAAGGGCAGGGAGUAAGGCUGAUGCUGUCAGGGUCCCAGGGGAAAGUUGAGAAUAAAAGUGGAGCAAGAAGGCAGGGCACACAUCUGGAGCAGUACCAUAAGCAUAGAAACUGAUGGACACUGUCUUCAGCACUGAGAUUCAGUGAUAACUGCUUUUUUUUUUUGUGUGUGUGUGUGUGUGUGUGUAUAUAUAGCACAACUGGUUAUACAAGCAUGGUGUUUAUGGGGUCAGGCAGGGAGCCUUUGUGGCUGACAGUUGUUUGCCAGCAGAGGCCAGUCUCUCCUAUUUUAGCCCAUGUCUUUGUAUGGAACUGUCAUUUCAGCUGAGAGAAAAAUAUGCCUGACAUUGGAAAAGCUCUGGAAGAAAUACUCUAGUCUGUCGUCAGACUGUGAACUGCCCCUUUCUUAGUAUUCAUUUGCAACAAAAAUGCCUUUGUCUAUAAAAACUGUGGUGACUUACUGUUGUUAUUAUCUUUUCUUCUUUUUUCCCCACUCAGUGACUGCAAUUCAAAAGUGCCAGUGUGUAUGGCAUACUUUCUUUCAUAAACAGUAUAUUGUACAGAAAGCCCAAACAGGCAAACUGCUAAUUGCCAGUCCUGCAAACUCUGCUACACCCGUGCGUCCUUUAAGUAUCAUAUGUGGUUCUACAAAAUGCCAAGGAUGUUAAAUGCUCUAAAGGAACCACCUAAAAGACCUGUGAGCUUUCUUCAUCAAUGCCUGGGAGAGACAAGUAUGUUCAUUUGCUUGCAAAGUGUGAGUCACCUGUGCUUAUGUGUCUCAGUGGCCCACCUUUUAAAAGCAAGUUCCUAAAUGCUUAAAUUAUUCCUGAAAAAAUGAAGCAGAGGCUCCUAAGAUUUUAUUUUUGUGAAGAAUAUUAUUUCUAAAUUAAAAAAAAAACAACUAAAAAUCCCAAACCUCCAAGCUCCUCAAAUCACACAAAGCCCAACCUUGCUUUUUAUGAGUUGCCCACCUCCACCAUUGUUCAGACCUCUCUGUUGCAGUGAAUUUUAAAUUUAAAACUCCCUAAUUUUCACUGAAAUGUAUUUUUCUUAAACACAAUUAUUUCAUAUUUUUCUAUGAAGUCAGAAAAUCAGAAUGAGGUGAAUGAAACAAGGUGGUCAAAUCAGAAAUAUGCUUUGAAACUCAGCUGAAGAUAGCUUUUUUAUUGUCCUGAUUGAAAAAGUCAGCCAGUCAUUUAUAGCACUAAAGAAUUCCCCAAGGACAUGAAAAUAAUUUCCUAUUCUAGGCACCAGAUCCUAAGGUUGCUUUGGGAAAGUUACAAUAUAGGUUUAGUCAAAAGGAAAGCAGCCUAUCAGCUGUCUCAGCAGCAUUACACAUCCAACCCUGGUCACCUUUUAGAUUUGUUAGCUACCAUAAUACCAUUAAGCAUUUAACUGCACCAGCAGAUUUAUCCCAGUCUCUACAGAAUAUCGGUUGCUUUAUCAGUGUGAUGGAGGAUUUACUGUCAGAUGUGAUCUUUUAAAUGUUUACAGUUGUUGUCUUGCUUGUAGGAGGGUUGGGACUCCUGCCAUAUUUCUAAUCUUCUCUGUUUGGUUACUUCACAAACACAACCUGGAAAAUAGUCUGAGUUUGUAAUAAAUCUGCACUUUAAUCCUCUUCACAUAUACACAAGCGCUCCCAAUCUUGGGAAAAGUAGUUAUUGGAGAACUACUAAUGUAAUUAAAGAGCAUGUCUAAAAGUUUCCAGGCUAAUGCUUUAGAAGACAAGCAAUGCAAAAGGAAAGUAGAAGAAGAUCUAACAAAAAAAUCAGGUAAAUACAGUACAUACACACACACACACAUAUACACACACAUGCACAUAUGUACAUAUAUACAUGCAUAUAUGUACAUAUAACUACAACCUUAGUGUACAUUUUUUAUUGGUCAUGGGUGUGGAACAGAGCAUCUGAUGCUACCUGAAGAGGCUAGAAUGAGUCUGCUGGAAAGGAGAGAACCAAGAACACUAGAGAUCACCAAAUCUUAGGUAUCUGAAAACUGUUCAUGAUUCAGCCUUAAGUCACUUCUCUAUGCAGUAGCAUGUGGUUACAUCCAAUAUAAUACACAGUCCAGACUGAGAACCUGGAAAGAAAACAACUUCUCUGACUGGGAAUUGCACAUAUGAAUGUGAGAAACAUCAGCGCCUAUAACAUAUGCCUAUCUCUCAGAUUAGAGACAGAGACUCUUUGGUGAACUUGGGCUGUCCCUCAGUCUUUCUGUGCCUUGCAGAAGGAUGGCAAGAGUUGUGGAUGUCUGACACAGUCUCUGAACUUCCCUGGCAGAGAAUAUUUCUGCAUGUGUUAUCCAAUAAACAAUUUAUGGAAAGAGGAAUGCACUAGACAUGAUUGAAACCACACCAAAACUCUAUUAACACAGGACAUGAAACAAAGA